rnacentral:rRNA from 1 species
UACGGAGGGUGCAAGCGUUGUUCGGAAUUACUGGGCGUAAAGGGCGUGUAGGCGGACCAAGUAGUCGGGUGUGAAAGCCCUGGGCUCAACCCAGGAAGUGCGCCCGAAACCAUUGGUCUAGAGAUUCGGAGGGGAGCGGGGAAUUCCCAGUGUAGAGGUGAAAUUCGUAGAUAUUGGGAGGAACACCGGUGCCGAAGGGGCCGCUCUGGACGAAUACUGACGCUGAGACGCGAAAGCGUGGGUAGCAAACAGGAUUAGAUACCCCGGUA